GGAAAUGGGCGCGCGAUUGGCCAGGUCUGUUAAAGGGACCGUCGCCCACGGGGCUAGAGAGGGGCGGCGGCGGCGUUACUGUUAAAGAGUCCGGAUGGGAGGGAUGCAGAAACUGAAGCCCAGAGAGGACUGCUGACACGUCCAAGAUCACAAGACUAGCU